CUGCAAAUAUUCUCACUGUUCUGAUUUUGUAAUCACCAGGGAAGGCUAAACAUUAGCUAUAUUAAGACGACGUAUGUGUCCCCAGACCUAGUUCCUUACCUAGGUCUGGUUUUAUAAAUGCUGGUGACAAAC